UACGGGGGGGGCAAGCGUUGUUCGGAAUUACUGGGCGUAAAGGGCUCGUAGGCGGCCAACUAAGUCGGAUGUGAAAUCCCCAGGCUUAACUUGGGAACUGCAUCCGAUACUGGAUGGCUUGAAUCCGGGAGAGGGAUGCGGAAUUCCAGGUGUAGCGGUGAAAUGUGUAGAGAUCGGGAGGAACACCGGUGGCGAAGGCGGGUCUCUGGGCAAUUCCUGACGCUGAGGCGCGAAAGCGUGGGGAGCAAACGGG
rnacentral:rRNA from 1 species